AUUGAACGCUGGCGACAUGCUUUACACACGCAAGUCGAACGGCAGCAUAGGUGCUGGCACCUGAUGGCGAGUGGCGAACGGGUGAGUAAUAUAUCGGAACAUGUCCGGAAGUGGGGGAUCACGUAGCGUAAGUUACGCUAAUACCGCAUAUGCCCCGAGGGGGACAGGGGGGGAUCGCAAGACCUCUCGCUUUCGGAGUGGCCGAUAUCGGAUUGGCUAGUGGGUGAGGGAAAGGCUCACCUAGGCGACGAUCCGUAGCUGGUCUGAGAGGACGGCCAGCCACACGGGGACUGAGACACGGCCCAGACUCCUACGGGAGGCAGCAGUGGGGAAUUUUGGACAAUGGGCGCAAGCCUGAUCCAGCCAUGCCGCGUGAGUGAAGAAGGCCUUCGGGUUGUAAAGCCCUUUCAGCCGGAAAGAAAUCGUACUUAUUAAUACUAAGGGCGGAUGACGGUACCGGAAGAAGAAGCACCGGCUAACUACGUGCCAGCAGCCGCCGUAA
rnacentral:rRNA from 1 species